UACAGGGGGGGCAAGCGUUGUUCGGAAUUACUGGGCGUAAAGGGCUCGUAGGUGGCCAACUAAGUCAGACGUGAAAUCCCUCAGCUUAACUGGGGAACUGCGUCUGAUACUGGAUGGCUUGAGUUUGGGAGAGGGAUGCGGAAUUCCAGGUGUAGCGGUGAAAUGCGUAGAUAUCUGGAGGAACACCGGUGGCGAAGGCGGCAUCCUGGACCAACACUGACACUGAGGGGCGAAAGCCAGGGGAGCAAACGGG
rnacentral:rRNA from 1 species